GGUUUUAUGGUGUAACGGUUAGCACUCGAGACUCUGAAUCUGGCGACCUGGGUUCUAAUCCCGGUAGAACCU
rnacentral:tRNA from 1 species